rnacentral:pre_miRNA from 1 species
UACAUGUUUUGACUCUUCGUCUUAUUUAAAAUUUUUUGCGAUUAAUAUUUUCGUUGUCACUAGAUGGUAAACAUGAAUAGUAUUUUACACGUGACUAAUUUUUUUAAGUUUUUUAUAAAAAUUUUAAAUAAGAUGAAUGAUCAAAUUUUGAACACAAAAAUC